rnacentral:rRNA from 1 species
UACGUAGGGUGCGAGCGUUAAUCGGAAUUACUGGGCGUAAAGCGUGCGCAGGCGGUGAUGUAAGACAGAUGUGAAAUCCCCGGGCUUAACCUGGGAACUGCAUUGGUGACUGGCAGGCUAGAGUAUGGCAGAGGGGGGUAGAAUUCCACGUGUAGCAGUGAAAUGCGUAGAGAUGUGGAGGAAUACCGAUGGCGAAGGCAGCCCCCUGGGCCAAUACUGACGCUCAUGCACGAAAGCGUGGGGAGCAAACAGG